rnacentral:rRNA from 1 species
GGCAGACGGGUGAGUAACAUGUAGGUAUCUUCCCUUUGGCCUGGAAUAACACGAGGAAACUUGUGCUAAUACUGGAUAAGUCUUUACGGAGAAAGCUUUAUGCACCAUUGGAUGAGCCUGCACUUGAUUAGUUUGUUGGUAGGGUAAUGGCCUACCAAGACUGUGAUCAAUAGCUGAUUUGAGAGGAUGAUCAGCCACAUUGGGACUGAGACACGGCCCAAACUCCUACGGGAGGCAGCAGUGGGGAAUCUUGCACAAUGGAGGAAACUCUGAUGCAGCGAUGCCGCGUGAGUGAAGAAGGCCCUUGGGUUGUAAUGCUCUUUCGUCGGGGAAGAAAAUGACUGUACCCGAAUAAGAAGGUCCGGCUAACUUCGUGCCAGCAGCCGCGGUUAUACGAAGGGACCUAGCGUAGUUCGGAAUUACUGGGCUUAAAGAGUUCGUAGGUGGUUGAAAAGGUUGGUGGUGAAAUCCCAGAGCUUAACUCUGGAACUGCCAUCAAAACUUUUCAGCUAGAGUUUGAUAGAGGAAAGCAGAAUUUCUAGUGUAGAGGUGAAAUUCGUAGAUAUUAGAAAGAAUACCAAUUGCGAAGGCAGCUUUCUGGAUCAUUACUGACACUGAGGAACGAAAGCAUGGGUAGCGAAGAGGAUUAGAUACCCUCGUAGUCCAUGCCGUAAACGAUGUGUGUUAGACG